AUUGAACGCUGGCGGCAUGCCUUACACAUGCAAGUCGAACGGUAACAGGUCUUCGGAUGCUGACGAGUGGCGAACGGGUGAGUAAUAUAUCGGAACGUGCCCAGUUGUGGGGGAUAACUACUCGAAAGAGUGGCUAAUACCGCAUACGACCUGAGGGUGAAAGCGGGGGAUCGCAAGACCUCGCGCAAUUGGAGCGGCCGAUAUCAGAUUAGGUAGUUGGUGGGGUAAAGGCGCACCAAGCCAACGGUCUGUAGCUGGUCUGAGAGGACGACCAGCCACACUGGGACUGAGACACGGCCCAGACUCCUACGGGAGGCAGCAGUGGGGAAUUUUGGACAAUGGACGCAAGUCUGAUCCAGCCAUGCCGCGUGCGGGAAGAAGGCCUUCGGGUUGUAAACCGCUUUUGUCAGGGAAGAAACGAGCGUCUCUAAUACAGAUGCUUAAUGACGGUACCUGAAGAAUAAGCACCGGCUAACUACGUGCCAGCCGCCGCGGUAACAC
rnacentral:rRNA from 1 species